AUUUGACAAUCAUGCUGACACCAUCCACUCAGGCUUGGCUGACUGGCCUCCCCGAGUACACCAUCAACAACUGGGCCGAGCUGAAGGCCGAGUU
rnacentral:snoRNA from 1 species